rnacentral:tRNA from 1 species
GGGCGGGUGGCGGAACUGGCAGACGCGUACGGCUCAGGACCGUAUGAGUGUAUAACUCUUAAGGGUUCAAGUCCCUUUCCGCCCA